UACGUAGGGUGCGAGCGUUAAUCGGAAUUACUGGGCGUAAAGCGUGCGCAGGCGGUUUUGUAAGCCAGAUGUGAAAUCCCCGGGCUUAACCUGGGAAUGGCAUUUGGGACUGCAAGGCUUGAGUGCGGCAGAGGAGACUGGAAUUCCCGGUGUAGCAGUGAAAUGCGUAGAUAUGGGGAGGAACACCGGUGGCGAAGGCGACCAUCUGGACGGAUACUGACGCUGAGACGCGAAAGCGUGGGUAGCAAACAGG
rnacentral:rRNA from 1 species